CUGCUUUGGCAUCAUACAUACUAAAAUUGGAAUAAUACAGAGAAAAUUAACAUUGCCCUUGUGCAAGAAUAACAUGAAAAUUUGUGAAGUGUUCCAUAUUUUU